rnacentral:lncRNA from 1 species
GUUUACCUGCUCAAGCCUCAGCAAUGGCGGACUCCCCUCUCCUAGCCAGGCUGCAGCCUUGCUGGUCGAUCUCAGAGUGCUGUGCUAGCCGUCAUCAAGGCUCCAUGGACAUGGGACCCGCCAAGCCCGGCACUGGAGAGAAUCGCCUGAUCUGCGGGUUGCUGAGACUGUGGGAAAAGCACAGUAUUUGGAUGGGAGUUUCCCAUUUUUUCCAGAAGCUGGGCAGAGAAAUCGAGCUGCAAAAUGACCUACAGAUAUUACAGUUUUAUUCUUGGAAAAUGGAGGUUGUCUAUUAGUGUGAUGGUAACAACCAACUAAUAAAAUUUGGAGACUAGACUGCUUGUCAUGUCUGGGGUUCACUGGAAAUCAAUGAUUCACUGGAACAAUUCUCCUGUCAAAAAAAAUGUGAGGUUUGUAACUUGCCCUAAGUAUAACAAGGGAUAUAUUUUAACAAAGGAUGUAUUUUUUCUUAAGAAGCAACCAUUUCUCAGCUUAUACAUAAUAGCAAUAAUAAAGUCUUUGACCC